rnacentral:lncRNA from 1 species
UAAGUAAAUUGAAUUCACAACUUAUGAAACGCAAUUAGAAGUAAUCAAAUCAUAUAGCAAGCAUAAACAUGGCUUCGAAUUCCCCCCUAGCCAAGGGGGGUUUAGUUCCUCAUACUCACAAAACAAAGAGUAUUGAAUUUAAACAUUGAAAACAAGGGAAAGAAAACACCUAAAACGUUCCAGCAAUCCUAACUUGAAUGACAUGCACGUCCAAGGCUUCUCCUUCUUCUUCUUUGCUGCGGCACAAGGUUUUGGGGACAGGUUUGGAUGGUAUUUGUAUGGAGGAAUGGAUGGGAGAUGGUAUGGUGGUGUUUAGGAUGGAUGAGAGGUGUGGCAAAAGAGAGAAAGAUGGCUGAAAAUGUGUUUGUGAUGUAGUGUAUGAAUGUGUAGAUGGGUUUGGCUAAAAGAAUGGAUGGAGAAUGGGUGGUGUGGCUGAUUGUGUUUUUGAUGUAGUGUCAUCUCUAGUGUUCUUCCCUUCACUCCCUAUUUAUAGAAGCUCUAAAGCAAAGAAUCACUCAAGUGGCUUCAAUAAACAAUACAAACAAAGACCAAAAUGAUGCAAAAAUAGCUAGUUUACAUGCUCUUUUAUCAUUGUGUCUUGCCUUUAACAAAAGGCAAUCCUUCGUCUUUUGCUAAUUCAACUCCUUUGUAGCUGUCCAUGUGCCUUUAUUCUUCAAUUUCUGAUGCAUUUGCCUUGUAUUCCAUCCCUUUUCCACAUGUACUAGCUGUUAGACAACUUUCACACACAUGUUUUGCAUCAUUUCAUCUUGCAAACAUCAACUUUCGGCCACUUUACACCUCUACACACAUGCUAUGCAUCAUUUCAGCUUGCAAUUAUGUUUGUAGUUGCUGAAAAUGUGAAUACAUCUUGUAAAGCAAUCCAACAAAUGGCAUCUUUCACUUCUUUUCCUUUCAAAUUGUUCCUUAAGUGUAUGUAUCUGCACACUUGCACACUUCAACUUCAUUAUUCAGAUUUUUGCAUGUGUUGAAACCCUUUUUAAAACACCAAAAACGUCCAUCCCACUUGGUCCAUAUGCAUGCAAUCCAUUUUGGCCCAAAAUUGCUCCAAAUUGCACCAAAAUGCACUUUCUUUCCAACUUAGUUAUUAGGACCUACAAACACACGAAAAUAGCUUAAAACACUCUUAUAAGCAAUAACUAACUAAGUAAAUGCAAGAAAACAUGUUAACUAAGUCGCAUAAAUAUGCUCCUAUCAACGUUUCAAAUAAUGUGUAUGUUUACAUUGAAAUACUGUAUAUGCAAAUUGGCAUGAAUCAGGGGUCGUACUAUUUCAGUGUUUGUUGGGUAUGAAAGUGGAAUCAUAAACCGAAUAGCAGGGGUUUUCGCCAGGAGAGGUUACAAUAUCGAGUCUCUUGCUGUUGGUUUGAAUAAGGACAAGGCUCUCUUUACCAUAGUUGUGUUUGGGACUGAAAAGGUGUUGAGGCAGGUUGUUGAAUAGCUCAACAAGUUGGUGAAUGUGAUAAAGGUUAGUGGACGUCUUUAGUAUUUCGUGUAAAACCUUUUGGUAGUUUCUGCAUUAUCUUCACUUAUAAUUCUGCUUUAUCAGGUCAAGGACAUCUCAAGGGAGCCACAAAUAGAACGUGAACUGAUGCUUAUCAAACUUAAUGCAGAUCCAAGUACCCGUGCAGAGGUAAAUUUUUCGAUCAUCCAGCCAAUAAUUGGAUAAUCGUUCUAAUAUGUUUAAAUGAUCCACCCCUAAGAAUAAUCAUCAGUAAUAUGUGGUUUUAAUUCAUCUGUAUAAUUCUCUACAGAUAAUUUUAAAAUGUAAUUUUCGCCAGUUAUACAUCAUGUUGCGUAUAUCUGUGUUUUCGGCCCUCUAUUGCGUGUUUACUAGGCUGUUGUUGUGCUCUGCAUUGUUUAUGUACUGUAGGCUUUGCUGGUGUGAUUACCGUGUAUUUAUAUUUGUCAUUCUUAAUUUGGUUAGAUGGUAGACAAUGGCACAACAUGUUUAAUAUUUACUUUGAAUGCCAAAUGCAAACCUAACAGCCUUUAUCAUCCCAAAUGUACGAAUAUUUAAGUCUGUUUAUAUAUGCCUCCAAAUAUAUAUAUAUAUAUUUUUUCAAUUCAGGAUUUCAACAUAUCAAGUAUGGAGGGAAUUGAUAGAAGCAAUAUGUCAGAGGUUUUUACCUUAUCUGCAUUAUUCCUCUUCUGUAUAGAUGAUUUAUUUUUUCUUCUUUUCAAAAAUAAAAUUCAUUUUCUUUGGCAAUUUCUCAAUGUAGGUCAGCAAUGAAGAAGUUCACUUCAGACAAACAAAUGUUCACAAUUCUCGAUAGCUAGACCAAAGGUAUUAGGAGCAAUCAAUAAAGGCAAAGAUGACAAUCUAUGAAUUCAUCACAACGGGCUUGAAUUUCAAUGCGACGACGUGCCAAUUAUCAAACCCGAUUGAACUCAGUAAAUAUAGUACAAAAUCAAACAGAAGUAAACCAAGAAGACAUAGGACCAACAUCAGUGGGUAAUAUGAUUUCUACUUUUUUUGUCUUUAAUAAUUAAGACACAUCUAUUAAGAUUGAACGAAUAGUGAUUUUAGGUUGGAGUUUGUACAUUUCUAUGUUGAAUGUAAUAUGCGUUUGUUGAUAUCUUUUACAAUGACUUUUAAAUCUUUUCAUUGUAACGGUUAAUUGAGAAUUACUGUGAAUUCUGGAAAUGUGAUAGGAUAGGAAUCGAGCAACUUCACUUAGGUCUGAAUUGUGGGAUACGGGUUGGGAUGAAUUGGUGGCAUUUGUACACAACAGUUCUACAUAAAAUCAAGUAACAUAUUGAAUUAAAUGAUCGUACAAAUUAUAAAACUUCGGGAAAAGGAAAGCAUGCGAAAUAUCUAAAGAACAAACCUUGAGGAAAGCGAACAUAUAUUAAAGUCCUUAGCGCCACCAAGUUCAAGGUUUAAUGCAGCUCAGAUAGCAACAACCAUUGACAGCCUAAUAUGUACAUCUGGAAGGAAGGAAAGGUAAAACAGAAUCAUAUUAUUAGGUACAUAUUGAUGCGAAUAAUAUAAGCACACUCAAAUUAAACCCUCUUUUUGACAAUUGUAGCAAAGUAUGUAAGUAGGGAUCGUUCUAAACCGGGGAUUAGGAGGGCUUGCUAAAACCUCUAAACUGACUCAAAAACAAAAAGAAACAAAGUUAUAAAUGUAAACAAAAGAUUUUAAAACAAGAAAGUAAAACGGGGAUUUGAGUUUGGUGAAGUUGAAAGUAAAAACGAAUAAACUAAAAACUUAAAUAGAUUUUUAAACAAAUUUGGGUUGAAUGGAUAAUGGAAGGCUAGCUAAGGGGUUCUUCUCCACACAUGUCUUGUUUGCAUACAAAAUGAUUUCCAAUUGCUCUUCGAUAAGUUAUGAAUACUCAACGCCCCAAAUUAACCGUGAAUUGCACUAAUUAACUCUCAGUUUUUCAACAAGUUAUUAGAUUGGAUGAUUGCAUACGACAACCCAAAACAUUCCCUACAAGUUCCCUACAUGAAUUGCAUAAUAGAGAUACAAGCAAGAAUCAUUAAGUUCUAUGAAAAACAUAAGCAUUGACGAGGCACUCGUUACUAUGAUUUGCAUGAAACUUAUGCCAAGAAUUUACUUAACGUGAUUGUGACUAGCAACCUUCACUACUUGUGAAUAUAAGUUCAUAACGAUUAGGUGAAACUCCCUUAUAUUCUAGCGUCAAAUUCAUGCAUGAAAAUUAAGCGUGCACUCUCAACCAACAUACACAAAUUAGUUUUUAUACGAACGGAUAAGUAAAUUGAAUUCACAAUUCAAGAAACGCAAUUGGAAGUAAUCAAAUCAUAUAGCAAGCAUAAACAUGGUUUUGAAUCCCCCCCUAGCCAAGGAGGGUUUAGUUCCUCAUUAUUACAAAACAAAGAUAAACAAAUUUAACCAUUGAAAAACAAAGGGAAGAAAGCACCUAAACGUUCCAACGAUCCAUGUUGGAUAGCAAGCGCGUCCAAGGACUUUUCUCCUUCUCCUUGCCGCCACAACAAGGUUGGAAUGAUGUUGAAGGGUUGGUUAUUUGGAGGAAUGGAUGGGAAGGGGUUUAGAUAUGUAGGAGAGGCAAGGAAAGGCUUGGAGAAUGGUUAAUUUCUGGAUGAUUUCAAUGAGGUUGCUGCAUGGUAUUUAUAGGGAGAUGAUGGACUUGUUUUAAGCACAAAUUUCUGGUGGAAUGGGUAGGUAAGUCACGGCAUUGAGUGGGAAUUGUUGUUGGGGUAGGUUUUGAGUCAUCCACUCACAUGUCAUGGUUAGCUAAGCAUUGCAUCAUCUACUCACAUGUCAUGGUUAGCUAAGCAUUGCAUCAUCCACUCACAUGUCAUGGUGAUUUAAGCAUUGCAUCAUUACUCAAAUUUCUGGUGGAGGUGGAAGUAAAAGUCACGGCAUUGAUGUGUUUUGAGUGAAGUUUUGGCCAAUCCUUUUAGAAAUUUAUCCCUUCUUGCAACUUGUAUUUGUUUUACCAGAUUUUUAGCAUGUUCUUAGCCUCUUUUGUCUUCAAAUUCGUCCAUCCAUCUUGCUCAUAUCAUAUGUAAUCCAUUACAAGCUCAAAACUGCUCCAAAAUGCACCAAAAUGCACUUUCUUGCUACCUUAGCCCUUUGGACCUACAAACACACGAAAAUGGCUUAAAGUACUAAAAUAACUAAGAACUAAUAACGUAAAUGCAAGAAAACUAGUUAACUAAGUCGCAUAAAUAUGCGUCUAUCAAAUUCCCCCACACUUAGCUAUUGCUAGUCCUCGAGCAAAAUAAAACAAAUAAAACAUAACCUAACCUUCCAACAUUUGCCUUAGGGAUUUCCAAUGCACAUGACAUGUUAAAGAUUAUCAUUCCCACAGAAUUGAGUCAAUUUAACACUUAAGCACAUACUUAAUCAUAGUCACUACUUACUAAUUCACAAUUAACCAAUUAAAACAAUGUUUUGAAUGUAGUAACAUGCCUUAGAGAAUUCCCUCAAUCCUUACAAGAUACGCACUCUAUUUUCACUCAGAUUUUCUAACUACACACCCUAUACUAGUUAUAUGUGAGAGAAUUGAUGUAGAUAUAAAAACGAAUGCUCACAUAUAUGUAUAAGAAAGAACACAAUUUCUAGAGUUAAUAAGCAUGUUGAGAUAUGAUCUCAUGAAUGGAAUGCUACUACUUAGAUGCGAGAACCAGUGACCAUAUGCUCAUACCAAGUUCAAUCUCCACAAAAUUGAAACACAUAACACUCAAGAUAGAAGUCAAGGGUUGUAACGGGGCUUGGGGGUAUUGGCUAACAAAGAAAGGAUAAGGAAAACAAACGUUCUUAAAGUGAUAGUAAGCAAAGUAAUGAAAUUGAGACUUAGAAUUUACUUAGAUUGCAGAAAUUAGCUUUAAAACACAAGGGGAAGAUUUAAACAACUCCUUAGGGUCGAAUUCAUUGUUUUGGACCCCUUCUUCAUCAAACAACACUUUAGAACUCUUUUUCACUUCUUUUUCAACUCUUUUCGCAUUCUUUUCAUAUUUUUCUUUUCUUUUUUUCUUUCUUUUUACCCGUGCCUAUGGCACAUAAUUCCUUAUGAAAAACACUUCCCCCACACUUGUUUUCUGCCACAAAGGAAUUCAAUUUGAAUCAUGCUUUACUACGCUUUAAGAACAAGGUUAAUGGAUGGUCCUAAUCUAAGCUAGGUGAGGGUAAUGUGGGUUACAAAGAAAAGGCUCACAAAGCUCAACGGGAUUAAAACGUACAAAACAUAAUGACAUAGGGGAUUCACGGCUUUUUGGUUAUGGUGGUGGUUACUACACAACUUUAUCUUGAAUAUGUGUUAUGCAAAUCAAUGACAUGCUUUGAAUGAAAUGGGUAUGAGUUCUAGCAUUUGGAACUAAAUGAUGAAACGCCUUCUAAGUAGUAACCAAGCAAAGAAUAAUGAGAUCAUGCAACGACUUAGAAAACAAUAAAUCACAGAUUAUUAACUCUCCAAAUAAACGUUUAGGCUCAAGUCUCACAAGGUUGUAGCGUUAGUUUGAGUUCUUUCCUUCAAGCAUGUUACAAAAACUGAUUUUUCCUUUAAGAUUGCAUGUAAAUUCAUAAGUUAUAACCACAACCAAGCAUAAACAAAGAGUAAAUCAAACUUUCAUCCAUGUUAAUCACUCUCUUUAACAGCCAUGAAAUUACAAACCAAAUCCUCAUCAUUGUGUUGGAAGGUACCCUAAGACACAAACAAACACACAAAAACAACCCUUUUUGGGUUUUUAAAACAAAUUUUUCAAAUUUUUAUGUGAUUUUCGGAUUUUUACUUCAAAACACACUAAAACACAUCAAAACAACUUAAAAACACUUAAAAAAAAAAAAAGCAAGGAACAAGUCUUUAAGUUAAGGGUGAUAAAAUCCCACGAAUUUGCAUCAAAACACUUUGGUUACCCCCCCACACUUAAAUCAAACAUUGUCCUCAAUGUUUCAAGCAUAGACUAACACAAAUAACAAACAAACAAACAAAAUAGCAACUAAGCAAUUUAACAUGGCAUAAAUGAAAACAACAACAAAGAGAAGGGUUUAGGAACGCAAAUCUGGAAUUUGGAGUGUUCUCUAGGUCUUCCUUUGUUGCAUGCAUGGGUUGCCUCCCAAGUAGCGCUUGCUUUAACGUCGUACAGCCGGACGAAGAACCCAUUCACUCCUCAAUGGAGUCCACGGCAUGCAAGGGAAUGUCAUCCACGGUAUGCUCCUCAAAGUUCUCGUAGUACGGCUUCAAACGAUGCCCGUUCACCUUGAAUUCGUGUCCCGUUUUCAAGCUUUGGAUUUGGACUGCACCAUGAACAAAAACAUUAGUAAUAACAAAAGGUCCAAUCCACUUGGAACGUAACUUACCGGGAAACAAACGUAAACGGGAAUUGAACAAUAGCACUUUCUGCCCAAUUGCGAACGUUUUGCCUCUAAUCAUCUUAUCAUGGAACGCCUUGGUCUUUUCCUUGUAAAUGUUUGCGUUCUCGUAUGCCUCGUGCCGUAUCUCAUCAAGCUCAUUCAAUUGGAACUUCCGGUGACUUCCCGCUUCAUCGAGGUUCAUGUUAAACUUCUUGACGGCCCAAUGAGCUUUGUGCUCCAACUCAACGGGGAGAUGGCACGGUUUGCCAUAGACAAGCCGAAAGGGGGACAUUCCAAUGGGUGUCUUGUACGCCGUACGAUACGCCCAAAGUGCAUCAUCUAACCGUAAACUCCAAUCCUUCCUUGUUGGCCCAACGGUCUUCUCUAGGAUUUGCUUGAUCUCACGGUUGGAAACCUCGGCUUGGCCAUUAGUUUGAGGAUGAUAAGGCGUAGAAACCUUAUGAUUGACAUUGUAUUUCCUCAAUAACGCCUCAAUGGUCCGGUUGCAAAAGUGUGACCCUCCAUCACUAAUGAUCACUCGUGGCAUGCCAAACCUUGCAAAAAUGUUAGUUCUAAUAAAAUCUGCAACCACUUUAGAAUCAUUAGUCCGGGUGGCCUUUGCUUCCACCCACUUUGACACAUAAUCAACCGCAAGCAAAAUAUAUAUAAAACCAUACGAAGAAGGAAAGGGACCCAUGAAAUCCAUACCCCAAACAUUGAAAAUUUCAACAUUUAGGAUAGAAACCUGCGGCAUUUGGUCCCUAGCACCAAUAUUACCCAUUCGUUGGCAUUUAUCACAUGUUAAGCAAAAAGUUCUAGCAUCCUUAAAAAUACUAGGCCAAUAAAAUCCACAUUGUAAUACCUUAAGGGCAGUUCUUUGUGUGCCAAAGUGCCCACCACAUGCAUAUGUGUGACAAAAACUUAAAAUUGAACGAAAUUCAGAAUCAAGCACACAACGACGAACAAUUUGAUCCGGGCAAAAUUUCCACAAAUAUGGGUCAUCCCACACAUAAAACCGUGCAUCAUGCCUAAGUUUAUCACAUUGGUGCCUAGUGUAAGUGCUUGGAAUUCUUUUUGUCACCAAAAAGUUCACCAAAUCAGCAUACCAAGGCUCACUAACCUUUAUGGACAUCAAUUGUUCAUCGGGGAAUGUCUCCAAAAUCGGCAAAGCCUCCUCAUUAUGCACCAUUCGGCUCAAGUGGUCAGCCACUAUGUUCUCACUUCCCUUCUUGUCACGAAUCUCUAUGUCGAACUCUUGAAGUAGCAACAUCCACCGAAUUAACCGUGGCUUGGCCUCCUUUUUGGUGAGCAAGUACUUCAAUGCUGCAUGGUCAGUGAAAACAAUUAUUUUAGUACCAAUUAGAUAUGAUCUAAACUUAUCUAAAGCAAAAACAACGGCAAGAAGUUCUUUUUCUGUAGUGGAAUAGUUCAAUUGUGCAUCAUUCAACGUCCGUGAGGCAUAGUAGAUGACGUGUGGCUUUUUGUCCUUCCUUUGUCCCAAAAUAGCCCCUAAAGCAUAGUCGGAUGCAUCGCACAUAAGCUCGAAAGGUAGGCUCCAAUCUGGUGGAACAAUGAUGGGUGCCGUGGUUAACAACUCCUUGAGUUGAUUGAAUGAUGCCGUGCACUCCUUGGUGAAUUCAAACGCCACUUCUUUUUGUAGGAGACGGCAAAGAGGUUGUGCUAUCUUCGAAAAAUCUUUGAUAAACCUACGAUAAAAUCCUGCAUGACCAAGAAACGAACGAACCUCUCUAACCGAAGUCGGAGAGGGUAAGUGACGUACUAGAUCUAUUUUGGAUUUAUCCACCUCAAUGCCGUUUUCAGAGAUAAUAUGCCCUAAAACUAUGCCUUGUUUUACCAUAAAGUGACACUUUUCCCAAUUUAAAACGAGGUUAGUUUCCAUGCAUCGUUUUAAGAUUAAUGUGAGAUUUUCCAAGCAACCAUCAAACGAAUCGCCAAAGACACUAAAAUCAUCCAUAAAUACCUCAAUAAUUUUCUCAAUAAAAUCUGAAAAAAUACUUACCAUGCAUCGUUGGAACGUGGCCGGUGCAUUGCAUAAACCGAAUGGCAUGCGGCGGUAAGCAAAAGUACCAAAUGGGCACGUGAAGGUGGUUUUUUCUUGGUCUUCCGGAGCUAUGACAAUUUGAUUAUAUCCCGAAUAACCGUCAAGAAAACAAUAAAAAGAAUGACCGGCUAACCUUUCUAGCAUUUGAUCGAUGAAUGGUAGUGGAAAGUGGUCCUUCCUUGUGGUGUUUGUUGAGCUUCCUAUAAUCAAUGCAUACUCUCCAACCUGUUUGAAUACGGGUUGGUACAAGCUCGUCCUCGGCAUUCUUCACCACAGUGACUCCGGACUUCUUUGGGACAACUUGAACCGGUGAGACCCAACGGCUAUCCGAAAUUGGAUAAAUCACCCCACAAUCGAGAAGCUUUAUAAUCUCCUUUUUCACGACUUCCAUCAUUGGAGGGUUGAGUCGGCGUUGAGCCUCUCGAGUUGGUUUAGCCCCCUCCUCUAGAAAGAUGCGAUGCAUGCACGUUGUAGGGCUAAUUCCCUUAAUAUCGGCCAAUGUCCAUCCGAUGGCUGUUUUGUGCUCUUUCAACACCCGAAUCAACUUUUCUUCCUCUAAUGCCGUGAGUGAUGAAGAGACAAUGAUGGGCAACGUCUCUUCCUCUCCCAAGAAUGCAUACUUUAAAUGAUCCGGCAACGGUUUAAGCUCAAGAACGGGGGCCUGAAUCACAGAAGGUAACAACGUAUUAGUUGAAACGGGAAUUGGAAUUGGGUUAGACGGCUUACCAUGAUGUUUUGGCAAUGAUUCCAAGGCAGCCACAAGCUCGGCAUGUUCAUCAUUUGGUACGGCCAUGUUGGGUUUUGUGCCAAAUCCUUGUGCAAUUGUCGUUUCGAGUGGAUCGUCUUCCAACAUAUCAAGAUAAUCCUGUGCCAAUUCAUCCAAUAUAUCAAUAGAAAAACAAGAAUGAUCAUCUUUAGGAAAUUUCAUAGCUUCAGAAAUGUUAAAGUUAAUAAUCUCCCCAUCAAAUUCCAUUGUCAACGUCCCUUUGAACACAUCGAUCUUGGUGCGUGUUGUUUUCAUGAAUGGCCUCCCAAGUAGAAUCGGCAAUGGGGUGACAUUUGGUGAGUCCUCCAUCUCUAAAAUGUAGAAAUCCGCUGGAAAUAUCAAGUUAUCCACCUGCACCAAUACAUCCUCCAAAACUCCUUUCGGAUAUGCAUUAGAACGAUCGGCUAAUUGAAUUAUAACACCAUCUUUUUUAAGCUCUCCUAAGUUCAUGGAUGCAUAUAUUGAGUAUGGCAUGACAUUAAUUGAAGCUCCUAGAUCUAACAUAGCAUGUUCAAAUUUAGUAUUGCCUAUAACACAUGGAAUUGUAAAACUUCCCGGAUCUUUGCAUUUAGGAGGUAAUUUUCUUUGCAAAACAGCGGAAACAUUCUCACUUACCUGGACAACCUCUUUGUUUGAAAUUCUCUUUCUUGUUGUACAUAGUUCCUUCAAAAACUUGGCGUACCUAGGUACUUGCUUAAUUGCGUCAAGGAGAGGUAUAUUGACUUGCACUUUCCGGAACGUCUCUAGAAUGUCCUUUUCAGCUUCUUCUUUCUUUGUUUGCUUGAACCUACUAGGAAAGGGGACAUUCAAAGGAAAAUCAUUAGUAGGAAUGGAAUUGGACACGGUUGUACCUUUAUUUGGCAGAUUGGAUGGCUUAGGAGCCAUGGAGACUUGCGGCAAAGGAACCUCUUUCCUUGCCGUGGCCAACCCUUGUUCCUCCUCUUCAAUUAUCACUUCCUCCACCUUGUUUGGGGCUGAUUUGGAUGGUGGUGGGGCUGUUCCAACUUGUUUCCCGCUUCUUAACAUGAUUGCCUUGGCAGAUUCAAAGCCUCCUUUUGGAUUUGCAAUGGUUGAGCUAGGCAACCUGCCUUGCUCUCGAAACUGCCCCAUGAACUCGGCAAUUUGCCCUACUUGUUUCUCCAACUCGUCCACCUUUUUGUCCCUAUUUUGCAUUCCCUGCGCCAUAGAAGUUAGUAAAUUAAAAAUUUGAUCAUUAUCAAUAGACAAACCUGAUUUUUGGGCAGGUUGUGCUUGGGGUUGAGUUGGUGCAAACGGCUUUUGAUAGAAACCCGGGGGUUGUUGCCUAAAUCCGCUUUGUUGUUGGCCUUGUUGGGGUUCUCGCCAUUUGAAAUUUGGAUGAUCACGCCAACCGGGAUUGUAAGUAUUGGAAAAGGGGUCAUUCCUUGGUUGGUAUUGGUUGCCAAAUCCUACGGCAUUGAGGGUCUCCCACCCUCCAUUUUCUAUCAACUGUGGGCACUUGUCCGUAAGGUGGCCUUGCAUGGAACACACGCCACAAGCUGCCACGUUUUGCACUUUUGGACCUUCCAUUACCUGAGAAAGCAAAGUAGUAAGGUUAGCCAUUUGAUUUUGAAGUUCGGUUAUGGCACUUACCUCAUUGACUUGAUGUGGUCGUGGGUUACUCCUUUGUCCAACGCCUUCGUAUUGUUGAGCAUUCAACGCACGGUUGGAAAUUAAAGUCUUUGCUGCCGUGGGGGUCUUGUCCACCAAGGCUCCUCCCGCCGAGGCAUCUAGCAUUUGACGUUCGAUAGGUAGUAGCCCCUCGUAGAAGUAUUGCAAAAGAAGUUCCUCAUUCAUCUGAUGCUGUGGACAAGAAGCAACAAGAGAUUUAAAACGUUCAUAAUAAGUAGGAAAAGAUUCACCUUCCUCUUGUUGAAUUCCACUUAUCCUUUUCCGUAGGAGGAUGACUCGAGAAGUUGGGAAAAACUUCUCCAAGAAGGCACGUUUCAUGCUUUCCCAUGAUGUGACGGUUCCGGGCGCCAAUUCGUACAACCAAUCCUUCGCCUUUUCCAAGAGAGAAAAAGGGAAGGCUUUCAUCUUCAAAAUACUCCCAUCGACAUUGACGGGGGUCAUGUUCGAACACACUACCUCGAAUUCUUUCAAGUGUUUGUUAGGAUCUUCCAUGGACAACCCAUGGUACUUCGGAAUGUGGUGUAACAAGCUUGACUUCAAUUCAAAUUCUUCUGUCUUUCCUCGGGCUGCUGCGGGGUAUUGGAUACAUAGAGGCGCGGCAUUGUCUAAUCCCGAGGCUGAAAGUUCUUUGAUUGUUCGAUUGUCCACCUCCAUGUCUUUUUCUGCCUCCUCCUUUUCUUCAAAUUCGGAUUCAGAACUAGAACUAGGUGGAUUAGGUUCUGGUACUUUCCUUUUCCUUCUCAAAGUUCGUUCAAAAUUGUCGUCAAACUCCGAUAUAUGUGCACGAACUGGUUGAGAACUACGAGUCAUAAACUAGUACCUGAAAUAAACAAAAUCAAAUAAAAUUAAAACUAAAAUUAAAACACACAAAAAAGAAAUAAAAAGAAACAAUGGGGAUUUAGCAAAGUUGCUAUUCCCCGGCAACGGCGCCAAAAUUUGAUGCGAAUAAUAUAAGCACAUUCAAAUUAAACCCUCUUUUUGACAAUUGUAGCAAAGUAUGUAAGUAGGGAUCGUUCUAAACCGGGGAUUAGGAGGGCUUGCUAAAACCUCUAAACUGACUCAAAAACAAAAAGAAACAAAGUUAUAAAUGUAAACAAAAGAUUUUAAAACAAGAAAGUAAAAGGGGGAUUUGAGUUUGGUGAAGUUGAAAGUAAAAACGAAUAAACUAAAAACUUAAAUAGAUUUUUAAACAAAUUUGGGUUGAAUGGAUAAUGGAAGGCUAGCUAAGGGGUUCUUCUCCACACAUGUCUUGCUUGCAUACAAAAUGAUUUCCAAUUGCUCUUCGAUAAGUUAUGAAUACUCAACGCCCCAAAUUAACCGUGAAUUGCACUAAUUAACUCUCAGUUUUUCAACAAGUUAUUAGAUUGGAUGAUUGCAUACGACAACCCAAAACAUUCCCUACAAGUUCCCUACAUGAAUUGCAUAAUAGAGAUACAAGCAAGAAUCAUUAAGUUCUAUGAAAAACAUAAGCAUUGACGAGGCACUCGUUACUAUGAUUUGCAUGAAACUUAUGCCAAGAAUUUACUUAACGUGAUUGUGACUAGCAACCUUCACUACUUGUGAAUAUAAGUUCAUAACGAUUAGGUGAAACUCCCUUAUAUUCUAGCGUCAAAUUCAUGCAUGAAAAUUAAGCGUGCACUCUCAACCAACAUACACAAAUUAGUUUUUAUACGAACGGAUAAGUAAAUUGAAUUCACAAUUCAAGAAACGCAAUUGGAAGUAAUCAAAUCAUAUAGCAAGCAUAAACAUGGUUUUGAAUCCCCCCCUAGCCAAGGGGGGUUUAGUUCCUCAUUAUUACAAAACAAAGAUAAACAAAUUUAACCAUUGAAAAACAAAGGGAAGAAAGCACCUAAACGUUCCAACGAUCCAUGUUGGAUAGCAAGCGCGUCCAAGGACUUUUCUCCUUCUCCUUGCCGCCACAACAAGGUUGGAAUGAUGUUGAAGGGUUGGUUAUUUGGAGGAAUGGAUGGGAAGGGGUUUAGAUAUGUAGGAGAGGCAAGGAAAGGCUUGGAGAAUGGUUAAUUUCUGGAUGAUUUCAAUGAGGUUGCUGCAUGGUAUUUAUAGGGAGAUGAUGGACUUGUUUAAGCACAAAUUUCUGGUGGAAUGGGUAGGUAAGUCAUGGCAUUGAGUGGGAAUUGUUGUUGGGGUAGGUUUUGAGUCAUCCACUCACAUGUCAUGGUUAGCUAAGCAUUGCAUCAUCCACUCACAUGUCAUGGUUAGCUAAGCAUUGCAUCAUCCACUCACAUGUCAUGGUGAUUUAAGCAUUGCAUCAUUACUCAAAUUUCUGGUGGAGGUGGAAGUAAAAGUCACGGCAUUGACGUGUUUUGAGUGAAGUUUUGGCCAAUCCUUUUAGAAAUUUAUCCCUUCUUGCAACUUGUAUUUGUUUCACCAGAUUUUUAGCAUGUUCUUAGCCUCUUUUGUCUUCAAAUUCGUCCAUCCAUCUUGCUCAUAUCAUAUGUAAUCCAUUACAAGCUCAAAACUGCUCCAAAAUGCACCAAAAUGCACUUUCUUGCUACCUUAGCCCUUUGGACCUACAAACACACGAAAAUGGCUUAAAGUACUAAAAUAACUAAGAACUAAUAACGUAAAUGCAAGAAAACUAGUUAACUAAGUCGCAUAAAUAUGCGUCUAUCACAUAUGAAAUUAAACUACUCAUCUUUUUUCCUCUAAAACAACCCCACACUAGACCUCCAAUGGUUGAUUCACGACAUGGGGUAACAAAAUAGUUUUCAAAUAGCUUUAGGUUAGAGAUCAUUCCUUUGUCCUCCUCCUCUCUUCCUAUGUCACUAUGUGCUAAAUCAUCUGCUUUAAACUAAUUUUAUUUUACCACUAUUAUUGUAUUUACUCUUUACUAAACUAAGUCUACUGUAAACUAUUUUUUUUUAAUUUCCAAUUAAAAAAAAAAACGUAAUGUAUACCAUUGAUUCAAUUACAAAAACAAAAAGAAAAAAAAAGUAUGUAGGUACGUAAAUAAUAUUAUAUGCUUACUAAUAUCUUUCGUGCACCAUUACGUUUCUUGGUUUAGAGCAACAAGAUGCAUAUGUUGCAACUAAAUUAUAAGGAUAUUCUCUGUUAUUUAUUACUUUUCUUUUUUACAUAUUCUAGAUAAAAUACUUUAAAUUCCUACCUUUAUUAUUAGAGAUGAUAGUCGCCUUUAUUUUAUGUUUCUACAUUGAACCAAUCCUCGCAUAUAAAUUCAUCUAAAAUGCGUAAGUCACGCGUAGUGCGCCGUGAUUAAAAAAUGUCUUUCACAUGCAUGUGAGCGCGUGGAAAGGCUAGUAAUAUAUAAAUUCCAACAAUCCCUCGCAUGAAUGAAAAAUUAGGAAGAAUUUGAGAGUACAGGUGGACAAGAGAUGCAUCGGGAGAGGUGUCCUUUGGACUUGAACCUACCCUAGGGAAUACUUAUUAGAUUUACUUGGUGACGCAGUGGAUGUGAAAGAUCUUGAACUGUUCAUCGCAACAGUAUACCGAGACAAUAAGCAACACACAUUACUAAUCUUAAUAUAUUAUGGUUCAUACGGUUGUGUUCAUUUUGGUCCUGAACAAUCCCGGAUUCAUGAGAGUUUAGAGAAUUUAGCCAUCUCAUUCUCAUAGAAGCGACCAACUUCUACUCUCACAUAAGUGACCACUGAUUGAGAAUACUCUGCAAUAUUCCUCUUGUUUAUAAGAUAUCAUUGUCAUUAAGUAUAAAUAUACACCCUAAAACUUCUGCAACACACUUCCUCCAUCAUAGGAAUGAGGUAUAUAGUGUGUGAACUUCUUUGAAUCAUGCACAACCUGUUUGCCUAUAGAACUUAGACCAUGGGAUCUCCUAUCAAUUCCGCCCGGCUGAUUCAUUAGUUAUGUUGGCUUUAGCCUCAUUCCCCUCGAUAAUCAACUUACUCUCUAGUCAAAUCUUUAAUAAUUGGAUUCACUACUAGGUUGACUAUUUUAAUGAUGUGCACAAUCCAUCUUUUGAAAUUAUAUUUCAUACGACAGUAGUUGUGAAGUCCUCAAAAGUACAUGUUGGGAUUUUAGUAAGGAAUUUUCUAGAAAGUAGACUUCUCCCACAUUUAAGGUAUUUGUAGGAAGGUCUCUAACUCUUCAUACCUUAAAGUUACUCAUUAUAAGAGAUAAUUGCUUUUUAUUCUCUCUCUUUUAAUAAACAAAUUACUCUUUACAAUUUGGACAUCGUGCUUAGCCCUUACUCGGCUAAAUUAUCACAAAGUACAUUUCUCUAGCCUUAAAGCUGUAUUCAAUUCCAUUAUAGAUUAUGCCUUUGCAUAUCCACCUAUAUGUACUUUGACUUUAAAUGAUCAAAAUUCAAUUAGCCAGCAUCAUUGAAUUCAUAACAUGUCCAUUCAUAUUCUUGCUUAAGAAGCAUCAUCAUGUUUAAUUUAAUUGUGUAUGCUUACUCAAUAAGCAUCAAUUUCAGUGCCUUAUCAUUCCUUUUACGAAAACCCUCACACUUCCAGUGUAUAAUUCUUCGCAAAGGAAUUGGCUUUGGUUUUAUUCACGACUAACAUGGCUUAUGAGCAAAACUCAUUUUUGUAGUGCCUUCACAUGUUACUCCUUUAUCAGGAAGUGCUCAUCAUUCUAUAAAUGUGCUAAUUCAAUCAAUGAGUUUUCAGAUCACACAGCCCAUAUCAGUAGAUGCCCAACCACAACAUUAAAGAUUGCAUUAUGAUCUUGUAGCUAAUUGGGAAACAAAAAACUCAAACAUUCCUGUUUAUGUAUCACUAUUGCUUUGAAGCCCUCACACAUCUGCAGUAUACAACCACAAGUUCUGUGCCAUAUGUAUACUAACAUAAGAAAAACCUUCUCUUUAGCAAAGAAAGAGGCUUCACAACCGCUAACAGAGAUUUACUUCUCCUAUUCAAUCCUAUGAAAUUCCAAGUCGCUAAAUUAUGGCGCUCCCACCUUCACUUUCUCUAUUGUCUUUCACUUUUUUUUUUAUACACAUAUCACCAAGAGUGUAUACUUGUGGUUUUCAUUCCCUCUAGGUCCUUUGCUCUUAUUUUCAUCACCAUGCAGCUUCAAAAAUAAGCUUUUAUUUCUUCGAAGAAUAUGCCACCUUUCAUACUACCAUCAAUUUAUAUCAAUGCAAUAAUUAUUCAAAAGCUUAACACCAAUUCUAUUUAUCAUCUAUUCUUGACCAACUUCAUUUCUUUUAAAAUCAUCAACUCCUCAAUCCUUUUUCUUCUUAAAAUUAACGGAAGCUUAUCCACUAAAAAUUGCUUUGCUUUCCUAUCGACGAUAUUAUAAUACAGUUGCUGUCUUCUCCAUUUUAAUUUGAUUCCCAAACUCGUCAUAUCUUCAUCAAACUAGCUGACAGACAACCAAUGUUCAUCCCCUCCUCUUAGAGCAUCUUUCACCAUCUCUACUAUUUAUUCAAGCCUAAUUAUCAUUAUAUAAAGUCUCAACAACAUAUUUAUACAUUUCUUUUGAAUUCUUCAACAUUGAAACAUGUAGAAUACCUUCUGCAUUGAUAUAGGUACUCUCAAAUUCUUCUGACUAGUGUAUAAGUACCCAAAUCCUCAUAUUGAAGCACUAUUUCUCCUUCAUAAUUAUGGUUCUGUAUGUAACAAUAAUUUUGCAAGUGAUUCUCUAAAAUCAUGAACCAACACUAAGUUCAAACCUAUCUCCUAGAGCUCAUAUUAACUAUAUAAUAAUUCAUAAUUCAAUUGCAAAAUUACAAAUCCAAAGUGAUCAUAAUUCUUUGUAUCAUCUUAGGAAUAAAUUUGGCAAUUUGUUCAGUGAUACUCAUUGCGUAUAUAAUCAUUUGUAUGCUAAUUCUCCAAUGAAAACACUUUAGUUUCUUACAACUCCCGCCAAAUCAUGACUACUAACUCCAUAUCUAUCCAACUUAGUAAUCCAUAGACCUGUUCAAACUUGAAUUUCCUUCGUAAUUACUCGCCCUUACAUCACACGAGUAACAAAAUCCAAGUGUCCAUAACAUCUUCAUCUCUAAAAUAAUCAUUCCAACAUCGCAUGUAACUAACUUAUAUUAAGAUCCUUUGCAUAAAAAUUCUUCUUACUUGUCCAAUCCCAUAUAAUCACCCUUCUCCAAUUCAAACUUAAAAUAUCUCUAAUCACAUAUGAACAUGAAAUAAUACUGGCUAGUUUUUGAAAUAAUUUUGAAGCAAAAUGAACUUACGUUGAGACUUGUUUAGAUAUCAAAAGUAUAAGUUCUUGUACACAUAGUGUAUAAAAAGAAAUCCAAUAAAUUCAUUACAUAAAAAUAACUUCGCACACACACACACACACACACACACAUAUAUAUAACCAUUUUUUUUUUAAAUACGGGGUAUUACAAUCUACCCUCCUUAAAAGAAAUUGCGCCCUCGAAAUUUGCAAGACCUUAAUAGUUUUACAAGUAAGGUAAAACAAAUCUAAAAGACGUAGAAUAUAUCACAAAUAUUAUAGUAAUAGUUGAAAAACAUUGAUGAAGUAUUUAGUUAGAGUGGUUGCAUGGAGAUUACCCUUCCAUGUCAUGUGGAUUGCAAUUCUCCAAUUUAGGCCUUCCAACUCUAGCAAAACACCUCUAUAGUGAACUUGAUAAGAAAACGAAAUUAGUCUUUUACUGAAAAUCACCUAAUAAUGAAAUUAGAAUAGAAAAAUUGAUGGUUACACAAAUCGGAAAUGUAACUCACCAAUCACCUUACUAAUUGGAUUCCUAUAUUCUCACCACACAUAAUUUAAAAUUUUAUAACUCAUCACAUAGCCCAAAACUAUGUAGGAAUGAGAUUUCACUAGCUCAUCACAAUUUAGGAAUGAGAAUUAUUAUUGACAUUGCCAACUCGUGUAGGAAUGAAAGUUUUAGUUUGCAAUGACCAUUUUUCUUUAUUUUUCCUUUGUGAGUAGGAAUGAAUUACAUUGGAAUUCAUAUCCCCAUCAAAAUUUACAAACAUUUACUAAAGAACACAAAUUCCUGCGAACAAAUUGCAAGUGUUAAACAACAUGUACUGAAAUUACUGUUUCUAUAAAGGAAGACCAUUAAAAUACUUCAACGUUUUUCUGAAGAAAAAAAAAAAAAAAACUCAAAUCCAAAGGAAAUGGAUCCCCAUACAUAUAUAAAUAUGCACACAUAUUUAUACCGUUACUUUAUGGGCUCCUCCUUCUCCUCCUAGUAACUUGCCUCAGUUCAUUGUCCUAGUAGCAUACUAAUACAAGUCAAGACCCACAAUCUAGAUAACAAGAAACUACUCAUCCAGUCAUUAUUCUGAUGACUCCAAUGCCACUUUCACUAUAUAAGAAUCAAAACAUAAUUAGUCCAAAGUUAAAAAACAUAAAAUUUAAGCUAAUUCGACAAACAUAGUGAUCAUCACAAGUUCAAUCCUAGAGUAUCUAAUCCCUAAGCUUUGAUACCAUUUUGUCACACCCCAACCCACGAAUAAGGACUAUUCACGAGCUAGGGUGUGAACCAUAUCUUGCUUAUAGAAUUUAUUUCUAUAGUUAAGAUAUGGCUCACACCCUAACUUGUGAAUAGUCCUUAUUCGAGGGUUGGGACGUGACAAAUGAAUAGAUAAAAUAUUAAAUUACUGCAAAGACCAAAAACUGGGUAGAAUGAAAUGACUAUAAAUGACUUACUCAAUCACCAAUCACUUGGCUCUUAUACCAAAUGAAUAAAAAGAAUGACACGAAGUCGUCAUCUGUAUUUACUUUGAAGUUAAGAUAUUCAAUUAAUUGAUUGACAAAAUUUACUGGAAGAAUUGGAUGAUGGUGCUCGUAGGCAUCCUUCUUCUAAAAUGAAAAAGUGUUUACAAUAUUUAAUUUCUUUGAAUAUAGUGUGCACUGAUGCGAAAAUUAUCUUAACAUACAAAUUAAACCUUCUUGUUGUCAAUUGUAGUAUAAAUGCAAGUAGGGAUCGUUUUAGGCCGGAGAUUAGGAGGGAUUGCUAAAACACUUGAAACUGACUUAAAAACGUAAAAUUAAGUUUAAAACACCAAACUAGACUCAAAGAACUUAAAACAAACUCAAAGGACUCAAAACAAGCUAAAAACGCUCAAAUUUGCCUAAAAACACAAACUGGGCAGAUUUGGACUCUAACACACUUUUGGGACACCUAAAAACACAAAUCAAAACAGAUUUUGACUAAUAAAACACUUUAAAGUAAAGGGGGUUUUGGUUUGGACGAAUUUGAAAACAAAACAAGUAAAUUAAAGAACUAAUGAAAUCUGCACGAAUUUGAAUAAAUUGAAUGGAUGGAAGGCUAGCUAGGAGGUUCUUCUCCACACAUGACAUACUUGCACAUAAACCAAUUUUCAGUUGUUCUUUCGAUCAAUCAUGAAACUCAACACCCCAGGUUAAUUAAGUCCGCUUAAAUUAACCUUCAAGUUCUCCUUAAGUUAUUGAAUUGGAUGGGAAAACGCAUACAACAAUUCAAGCAUUCUUCAAAAGUUCCUUACGUGAACAUCACAAUAAAGAUACAAUCAAAGAUCAUUAAGCAUUAUGAAAACUAUAAGUAUUGACGAGGUAGUCGUUACUAUGAUGAGCAUGAAACUCCUGCCAAGAAUUUAUUUAACGCUAUCGUUUAUAAGCGACCUCCACUACUUGUGAAUAUAAGUUUGUAACUAUUAGGUGAAACUCCCUUAUACUCUAGCAUCAUAUUCAUGCAUGCAAACUAAGUGUGCACUCUUAAUAAAUAUACACGAAUAAGUUAUCAAUCAAGCAGUUAAACAAAUUGAAUUCACAACUUAUGAAAUCACAACUGAAGGUAAUCAAAUCAUAUUGCAAGCAUGAUGGUUUCGAAUUCCCCCUAGCUAAGUGAUGCGAAACAUAUAAGCACACAAAUUAAACCCUCUUUUUAUCAAAUGUAGUAAAGUAUGUAAGUAGGGAUCGUUCUGGACAGGGGAUUAGGAGGGAUUGCUAAACACUUGAAAAAUGACUUAGAAAUGUAAAAACAAAGUUUAAAACACUAAACUAGACUCAAAGAAUGUAAAACUAAAGUUUGAAACACUGAAACAAACCAAAAGACUCAAAACAGCAAACAAACACUCAAAACUGCCUUAAAAACACUUUAUGGGCAGUUUUGAACACAAACACAAAUUUGGACGAAAUUGGGUUACAACUUGAAUCAAAACACUUAAAAACACAAACUAAAUGGAUUUCUAACUAAUCUAACACUUUAAAAUAAAGGGGGAUUUGGUUUUGACGAAAUUGAAAACAAGACAAAACUUUGUAAUUAAAAUAGAUUGUAGAACGAAUUUGAAUGAAGCUUAUGGAUGGAAGGCUAGCUAGGAGGUUCUUCACCACACAUGUUACACUUGCAUACAAAACGAUCUCCAAUUGCUUUUCGAUACACUAUGAAUACUCAACGCCCCAGAUUAACCGUGAAUUGCACUAAUUAACCCUCAGUUUUUUCACAAGUUAUUGAGUUGGAUGAUUGCAUACGACAACCCAAAACAUUCCCUACAAGUUCCCUACAUGAAUUGCAUAAUAGAGAUACAAGCAAGAAUCAUUAAGUUCUAUGAAAAACAUAAGCAUUGACGAGGCACUCGUUACUAUGAAUUGCAUGAAAUUUAUGCCAAGAAUUUACUUAACGCGAUUGUGACUAGCAACCUUCACUACUUGCGAAUAUAAGUUCAUAACGAUUAGGUGAAACUCCCUUAUAUUCUAGCAUCAAAUUCAUGCAUGAAAAUUAAGCGUGCACUCUCAACCAACAUACACAAAUAAGUUUUUAUACGAACGGAUAAGUAAAUUGAAUUCACAGCUUAUGAAACGCAAUUAGAAGUAAUCAAAUCAUAUUGCAAGCAUAAACAUGGUUUCGAAUUCCCCCUAGCCAAAGGGGGGUUUAGUUCCUCAUACUUACAAAACAAAGAGUAUUGAAUUUAAACAUUGAAAACAAGGGAAAGAAAACACCUAAAACGUUCCAGCAAUCCUAACUUGAAUGGCAUGCACGUCCAAGGCUUCUCUUCCUUCCUCUUUGUUGUGGCACAAGGUUUUGGGGACAGGUUUGGAUGGUAUUUGUAUGGAGGAAUGGAUGGGAGAUGGUAUGGUGGUGUUUAGGAUGGAUGGGGGGUGUGGCAAAAGAGAGAAAGAUGGCUGAAAAUGUGUUUGUGACGUAGUGUAUGAAUGUGUAGAUGGGUUUGGCUAAAAGAAUGGAUGGAGAAUGGGUGGUGUGGCUGAUUGUGUUUUUGAUGUAGUGU